rnacentral:rRNA from 1 species
UACGAAGGGGGCUAGCGUUGUCCGGAAUCAUUGGGCGUAAAGCGCGCGUAGGCGGCCCGGUAAGUCCGCUGUAAAAGUCAAAGGCUCAACCUUUGAAUGUCAGUGGAUACUGCCGGGCUAGAGUCCGGAAGAGGCGAGUGGAACUCCGGGUGUAGCGGUGAAAUGCGCAGAUAUCCGGAGGAACACCGGUGGCGAAGGCGGCUUCCUGGACCGACACUGACGCUGAGGCGCGAAAGCUAGGGGAGCAAACGGG